UUCGCGCGCUCUCUCUCGCGUCAGGUUUUACCUUUCUUCAAUCUUCCAUCUCCAAGGUCUCCCCCUUAUCUCUGCUCAUUCAAUUCCCUUUCAGAUUCAAUCGCCUCGCCAUGGCGGAGUGGCAGAGCUUCUCCAAACCGCCAUGGCGGAGUUGUCAAGUUGAUCUCUGUAGUUGUCUCUUUUAAAGAAGACAACCUCUCUACGUCUCGUACUACCGCUAUUUCCAUUCAGGAAUCCGCCGGAGGAGCUUCGGCAUCAAGGUAAUCGAAAGCGACCUGGCUGUUUUCCGGUCGGGUUCGGGAGAUUUCGGAUUGGCGCACGAACAUGGUAGUGUGAGGAAUGGCGGUAUUGGUGGGAGGGAUUCCGAUGAUGAUGAUUGGGAAGGGGUGGAGAGCACCGAAUUCGAUGAGCUCUACAGCGCCGCAACUGCAUUUGUGGCUGCAUCUGCUUUCUCCCAAGGUCUCCAAUGAAGUACGGUUGCAAAAUUACAUUGAUGUCGUUACCGAGUGAUAUCCAUCUUGGUUGGUUAGUGCAAGUGGGGAAGGACCACAGUGCAUUGGGCAUUGGAUCGUGGGGGCAUUCUAAUGUUGUGGAGCUGCUUGUUAGCAGGAAUGCUGAUAUAGAUGUAAAGGUACCUAGAACACAUUUAUAUUCUAUUUACUGAUCAAGAUCAUCUGCGGGGUUUUCAUACCAACCCGAGCCCAAGUCUUUACUCGGUGGUAGCUCUUGCCCGUGCCACGUUUCUUAUUGAGCGUGGACUAAUAGUAUUAGACAGAAAUGAUUAUAUCUUAAUUAAGGAAGUUGAUGGCCAAACUCCAUUGCAUUAUGCCAUUGUUUGUGAUAGAGUAGCGAUCGCUGAAUAUCUUGUCAAGAACAAUGCCAGCAUUAAUGAAAAAGACAAUGAUGGAAAGUGGCCUUGUGAUCUUUGCGAGUUUAACUGGCCUUUCAUGGUCUUAGUGGGAAAGUAGAGAUUAUUUCUCACGUCCCUUUUGAAUGUAAAUACUCCAAUGCAUGGCCCCUCCCAACAGCUUCAUUAUAGAUAGUUUCAGAGUACUUAUGAAGUUUACCUGUUUCAUAUCAAAUGCUGAAGGCUGCAAUAGUAUCUAUCUCAUUGUUAAUAUUGUUAUUUAGGAAAUGAAUGCUAUGAAGUGGAAAAUGGUGCCUUGACUUUAUGUA